UACGUAGGGGGCUAGCGUUGCUCGGAAUCACUGGGCGUAAAGGGUGCGUAGGCGGGUUUUUAAGUCAGGGGUGAAAUCCUGGAGCUCAACUCCAGAACUGCCUUUGAUACUGGAGAGCUUGAGUCCGGGAGAGGUGAGUGGAACUGCGAGUGUAGAGGUGAAAUUCGUAGAUAUUCGCAAGAACACCAGUGGCGAAGGCGGCUCACUGGCCCGGUACUGACGCUGAGGUGCGAAAGCGUGGGGAGCAAACAGG
rnacentral:rRNA from 1 species